rnacentral:tRNA from 1 species
GGUGGGGUUCCCGAGCGAUCAUAAGGGAGCUGACUACAAAUCUGCCGUCAUCGACUUCGAAUCCUUCCCCCACCACCA